rnacentral:rRNA from 1 species
UGCCAGCCGCCGCGGUAAUACGGAGGGUGCGAGCGUUAAUCGGAAUUACUGGGCGUAAAGCGCACGCAGGCGGUUUGUUAAGCUAGAUAUGAAAUCCCCGGGCUUAACCUGGGAAUGGCGCUUGUGACUGGAAGGCUAGAGUGCGGCAGAGGGGGAUGGAAUUCCUGGUGUAGCAGUGAAAUGCGUAGAUAUCAGGAGGAACACCGAUGGCGAAGGCAGUCCCCUGGGUCGACACUGACGCUCAGGCACGAAAGCGUGGGGAGCAAACAGGAUUAGAUA